CAGUGCUUUUCCUUUCUCUAGCUUGCUCUCUCCCAAUCUCUUAGUCUCAAUUUCCUUCCCCUCUCUCUCUCUCUCUUUAGAUUCUUUUUUUCUCCUCUUCUCUUCUAAGAUAAGAAAGCUACUUGAUUCAGGGCAUGAUUAUUGUCUCAGCCAGCUCUAGAAACUAGAAAAGCACACAUUAAACAAAGAACACAACAACAUACCUUAAAAGCAGCUCUUCAUUUCUCAUAGUAACAGCGGAUUUGGGACAGCGCAUGCUUUCUACACAGAUAGUCUCAACAAAAGCCAGUUCAGAAGUACGCUCAAACAUCAAUGCCACAGUCGCUGUUCACUAAUGCGCCCUCUCUCUCUCUUUCUCUCUCUCCCCCCCCCCCCUCUCUUUCUCUCUCCACUCUCUUCCCUAGUCAAAUGCUGGAUAGUAGAGCAAAGGGGCUCCUGCAGAUUCACUAAGUAGAAAUAAUCCUCUCUGACAAGUUAUGUUGUCUCGGCAUAUUUUUACACUAAUACACUGUGCUGCCUAUAGGGGUCUUGUUUGCAUUCACUCAAGCCUGGCUGGUGUUAGUUCUCCUAAUUACCAUCUUAAAAAACUGGACAGAAAAUUAAGCAACUUGGUUACCUUUUUCUUAUACAUUUAAUAGCAAAGCCAAUUUCCCAAUUUUCCUUUGCUGUCAACUGUCAGCGGGCAUUGCAGAUGACUAACGAAAGAUUGGGAUAGGUCAGUGUGCUCAAAAGCAUGUUUGUCUCUUUUUUUUCUGGGACACUGCAUUCACAGUUGGAUUCAUCUGUUCCUCUCCUCUUGUCCUCAGGAAGAGUGACAAGGUCAAGACCCUUAGCCCCACCCUGGACCAGGGAUAUAGAGGACAGAGAUCAGGGGACUUGGAAAUGUUUUAACUCUCUGCACACCAGGGUUCUCAUAAAUCACAGCAUAAUUCACCUGAAGCAGAGGAUCUAAAGCAGAGAGUCACUUGCAAAGAUUGUUGGCCCCAUUGAAAUCCUAAUUGACAGUGGAGUAUCAUCCUCAAAAGGCCAUUGAGUUGCUCUUUUCCAAAAUAAGAAAAAUCUGCUUCCUUACUUCAAUAUACUCCCUAGGCUUUGCAUGUAGAGGAAACCAGAAAAACACACUGUACUUCUGUUUUUUGGAAUUAGAAGCAUUCGAGGCAUAUUAACCAAGUAAAAUAGCUAGUUAAACAUACACACAAGGAAAAAACUAGAUACUGUGGACCAAAUAAUCGGUUGUCCAAAAGUGCAAGUUAAGGAGCCGCUUCAGGAGAUGUGUUCUGACCGGAAGUCAAGAAUGUUCUUUGCUUGGAUGGAACAUCCUAGAACAGCCCAAAACAGACCUGGGUCACUGAACACUGGCCUCCCUCCCAUCCUGCAUCAGCACAAUGGUGCAUGUCAGUCAUGAUCUGGAUUCUCAGCAUUAGCAGAAAAAAUAAGAGUCGGGAGAAAAUUGGCAGACUGUGUUCCCACCUAUUUCAGAGUCUGGAACACACAACAAAAUCUUGCUAGAUCUUUGACCUCUGAACUUGGUCUUGGUCCACAGCCAGGAAGAUGGAGAUUAUCCUGGGAUGCACGUGUGAAGGAUCUUUAAUUUCUGUUGCACACUAAUCCUGUGUAGCACAUCAACGGGACUAAGGGAUAACAGCAAAGUAGAAUCAUUCGCCAUCCCUAUGUCCAGAUGGCAAUAAGAAGACAUGGUAAAUCACUUGACAAAGGUCAGAUCAUGAAACAAAAUCAUGUCCCUAAAACAAUCUCAUUUUUUAACUUAUCCUUGCUGCAUUAGAACAUAUGAAAGUUACGGAGUGAAUAUAUAUGAAAAUGAGUGACCUUGUCAGAGAAUGAUAGCAUAAAAAAUCUAAGAUGUUCCUUUGAAGUGGGAAAAGCAUUGUGUAAUGAGCUUGGAACCAGAGAGGCCUUAGGGAGAUAGAGUGUGACCCUCUUCCCCUCCAGACUUGUGUUGAGUGCGGGGCAGAAGGCUCUUGACCUCUCUGGGGCUCUCUUUGCCCUGAGGUUAAAUGGAGACAGUGAAUGCAAAUUUGAAGAGCUUGUAAUGAAACUGGGUGUGUGUGGUCAGUGCAAACAUUCACAAAAAAUGGAAUGAUUGCACUGACAUCUGGCAUGGGUUUUGUCUAUUUGAGAAGGAUAAAAAUACACUGCUUAGCCCACAGGCCUAUUCUGCAUAUAUCCAUAUAAUUUCUAGUGGUGUUAAACUAUGAGGCAAGCAUUAACAUAUGACAAUAAUGCAUUCACUUAUCUAUAAGUAGAUUCUUCACAUUGGAAGCCAGUAAAUGAAUUAUGAAUCCGUAUUAGUAAUGACUGGAAUUGAACCAAACCAUUAAAUAUUUUAUACUCUCUCCACUUCCUUUUUAGUCUAGAGACCUGAGUAAUGAGAAAGCUAUUGAGGUAAGAGUUUAGUACUUGUUCCAACUCCCCUAAUAUGACAGAUUGAGGGCCUUACAUCCACCAGUUGCUUGUGCUAAAUUGGGAUUAUAAAGAUGAGUGAGUGGAAGGAAGGAUGUUAUUUAUAAUAUUCACAUAUUGUAUAUUAAGUCUUUGACCCCAAAUGCACGUUGAAUAAAUCUUUGCACUUUGUACUGCUACCAAUGGAAUAUCUUUCUGGCUGGUACUUAAUAAACACUUGGAUAAAUAUAAAAGAGU
rnacentral:lncRNA from 1 species